rnacentral:rRNA from 1 species
UACGUAGGGUGCAAGCGUUGUCCGGAAUUAUUGGGCGUAAAGAGCUCGUAGGCGGUCUGUUGCGUCGGCUGUGAAAACCCGGGGCUCAACCCCGGGCCUGCAGCCGAUACGGGCAGACUAGAGUUCGGCAGGGGAGACUGGAAUUCCUGGUGUAGCGGUGAAAUGCGCAGAUAUCAGGAGGAACACCGGUGGCGAAGGCGGGUCUCUGGGCCGAUACUGACGUGAGGAGCGAAAGCGUGGGGAGCGAACAGG